rnacentral:lncRNA from 1 species
UUUCCAGACACUCUGUGCAAAGAACAGAGGCAAGCCUCCAGCCAGGAGCUCAUGAAAUCAUGAACUGAGGCCUCAGUGCAAUAGCUCAUGAGGAAAUGAAUUAUUUCAACAGCCAGGGUUGCUCUGAAGACUAAAGCCCUGGGAUCAUUCAUUUUAAAAGAAAAGAACGGUGACUCAUCAUUUCAAGCUUUUCAUUCUGGAAGUUGGAAGUACAAGAUCAGAUUGCCAGCAUCAUCAGAUUUGAUAUCAAAGUAAUGUCAAGUGCUUCUGACCCACUGCAUUAAACGUGUGCUGAGCAGUUGGUGGUAGAAGACAUUAUUGUGAAGGCUGCUCACCACCAAUUUCAUCACUGUUGCUAACUCCAGCUCAUCUAAUCUCUGCAACAUCUGCUACCAGCACCUUCUCUUGCCUCCUUUUGUGAACAUAGUUUUUUCUUCUGGUUAGAAAAUCAGUUCGAACUUCUUGAGUUUUGUGUUUUAAACUCUUCUCAACUGUUCCGAUGAUUGAUGGAUGGCCCAGAGGCGACCUCUUUAUCUCCAGCAACAUAUUUGGCUGUUGGCCCGGUAGAGAGGUACUCCAGAAGCUUGCUGGUUCAUCAUGCUCUCAUCUUUAACCACAACUAUUUAUCUGACUCCUUCCAUCUCCACAGCACUGUGUGAGGGAUCAGUGAUAAGAGACGGUGAAAGACAUGCGCAAAUGGAUAAAUAAUAAGCAGGAUAUGUAGAAUGACACAACAAUUGAUGAGUAAUUUAGGAGAUCCAAUAACUAAAAAAAAAAAGACUGGGGACAAGUUCAUGGAAAGAGUAAUCAACUAAGCCUUAUAACAUAAAAUUGACAAAUAGAGAAGGCAUGCAAUCCAGUAGAAUAGAGUGCAAAAGAGGUAGAAGACUAAUCGUUUCAAGACAUGUUGAGCCACAACAGCAAUAACAUUGUGACAAAAAACGUCGGUGUAGACUGCAGAAGAUCUUCAAUGACGGAUCAAGCUGUAUAGACUUUUUUUUACCCUCAUAUACUGAAUAGUCAUUUAAGGUAUACAGUGCCAACGUAAGAGAGAAAGGUGGUCUAUCAUUUUGGAGUUUCUUUCCACCUCUGGAGAAUUGCUCAGGAAAUCUGGCUAACAUACCAAAUAAAUCAAAUGGAUUUAA